AGCGAACGCUGGCGGCAGGCUUAACACAUGCAAGUCGAGCGGGCACUUUCGGGUGUCCGCGGCGGACGGGCGAGUAACGCGUGGGAACGUGCCCUCUGGUUCGGAAUAACUCAGGGAAACUUGAGCUAAUACCGGAUACGCCCUUUUGGGGAAAGGCUUGCUGCCGGAGGAUCGGCCCGCGUCUGAUUAGCUAGUUGGUGAGGUAACGGCUCACCAAGGCGACGAUCAGUAGCUGGUCUGAGAGGAUGAUCAGCCACACUGGGACUGAGACACGGCCCAGACUCCUACGGGAGGCAGCAGUGGGGAAUAUUGGACAAUGGGCGCAAGCCUGAUCCAGCCAUGCCGCGUGAGUGAUGAAGGCCUUAGGGUUGUAAAGCUCUUUUAUCCGGGACGAUAAUGACGGUACCGGAGGAAUAAGCCCCGGCUAACUUCGUG
rnacentral:rRNA from 1 species